rnacentral:tRNA from 1 species
UGAAUUAUAGCUUAAUCGGUUAGAGCUCUAAUUUGUCGAAUUAGAAGUAUGAGUUCAAAUCUCAUUUAUUCCG